UACGUAGGGGGCAAGCGUUGUCCGGAAUCAUUGGGCGUAAAGAGCGCGUAGGCGGUCCGGUAAGUCCGCUCUGAAAGUCCGGGGCUCAACCCCGGGAGGCGGGCGGAUACUGUCGGGCUAGAGUCCGGAAGAGGCGAGUGGAAUUCCUGGUGUAGCGGUGAAAUGCGCAGAUAUCAGGAGGAACACCAAUGGCGAAGGCAGCUCGCUGGGACGGUACUGACGCUGAGGCGCGAAAGCGUGGGGAGCAAACAGGA
rnacentral:rRNA from 1 species